UGCCAGCCGCCGCGGUAAGACGGAGGGGGCUAGCGUUGUUCGGAAUUACUGGGCGUAAAGAGCACGUAGGCGGCUUAACCAGUCAGGCGUGAAAUCCCCGGGCUUAACCCGGGAGCUGCGCUUGAUACUGUUAAGCUUGAGUUCGGGAGAGGAAAGUGGAAUUUCUAGUGUAGAGGUGGAAUUCGUAGAUAUUAGAAGGAACACCAGAGGCGAAGGCGACUUUCUGGACCGAUACUGACGCUGAGGUGCGAAAGCGUGGGGAGCAAACAGGAUUAGAUA
rnacentral:rRNA from 1 species